rnacentral:rRNA from 1 species
ACAGCAGUAGCCGCGGUAAUACGGAGGGGGCUAGCGUUGUUCGGAAUUACUGGGCGUAAAGCGCACGUAGGCGGCUUGGUAAGUUAGAGGUGAAAGCCCGGAGCUCAACUCCGGAAUUGCCUUUAAGACUGCCGAGCUAGUAGGUGAGAGAGGUAAGUGGAAUUCCGAGUGUAGAGGUGAAAUUCGUAGAUAUUCGGAAGAACACCAGUGGCGAAGGCGGCUUACUGGCUCAUUCUAGACGCUGAGGUGCGAAAGCGUGGGGAGCAAACAGGAUUAGAGACCCCGGUAGUCCCUGUCUCUUAUAC